CGCGGUAAUUCCAGCUCCAAUAGCGUAUAUUAAAGUUGUUGCGGUUAAAAAGCUCGUAGUCUGAGUUCUGUUCCGGACUGGUCGGGGAGGUCACCGCCCGGUGCUUGCCCGUCAGGUUCCGAACAGCCCUACCGCUUUAGCGAGCGGGGGCCAAGCCGGUUCUGCCGGGGUGCUCUUGACCGAGUGUCCCGCGCGGCCGGCCGGUUCACCUUGAACAAAUGAGAGUGCUCAAAGCAGGCUACUCUUGACACUAAAGCCCGAAUGUUAACUGCAUGGAAUGAUGGAAGAUGAUCUCGGUUCCAUUUUGCUGGUCCUUUGGGAAUCCGAGUUAAUGAUAAACAGGGACUGUCGGGGGCAUCCGUACUACGACGCGAGAGGUGAAAUUCAGUGACCGUCGUAGGACGAACAACAGCGAAAGCAUUUGCCAAGAAUGUCUUCGUUGAUCAAGAACGAAAGUUAGAGGAUCGAAGGCGAUCAGAUACCGCCCUAGUUCUAACCCUAAACGAUGCUGACCAGCUAUUCGCCGUCGUUAUUCCCAUGACGUGGCGAGACGCCCCCGGGAAACCUCGAGUCUUUGAGUUCCGGGGGUAGUAUGGUUGCAAAACUGAAACUUAAAGGAAUUGACGGAAGGGCACCACCAGGAGUGGAGCCUGCGGCUUAAUUUGACUCAACACGGGAAACCUCACCAGGCCCGGACACCAGAAGGAUUGACAGAUUAAGAGCUCUUUCUCAAUUUGGUGGGUGGUGGUGCAUGGCCGUUCUUAGUUGGUGGAGUGAUUUGUCUGGUUAAUUCCGGUAACGAACGAGACUCUGGCCUACUAACUAGUGGGCGGGUGUUCCGGUAAGGGGCCCCGCCCGACAAUGUCUUCUUAGAGGGAUGAGCAGCGAGUAUAGCUGCAGGAGAUUGAGCAAUAACAGGUC
rnacentral:rRNA from 1 species